rnacentral:rRNA from 1 species
UGGCGGACGGGUGAGUAAUGUCUGGGAAACUGCCUGAUGGAGGGGGAUAACUACUGGAAACGGUAGCUAAUACCGCAUAACGUCGUAAGACCAAAGAGGGGGACCUUCAGGCCUCUUGCCAUCGGAUGUGCCCAGAUGGGAUUAGCUAGUAGGUGGGGUAACGGCUCACCUAGGCGACGAUCCCUAGCUGGUCUGAGAGGAUGACCAGCCACACUGGAACUGAGACACGGUCCAG